rnacentral:rRNA from 1 species
UGAGGAAUAUUGGUCAAUGGACGCAAGUCUGAACCAGCCAUGCCGCGUGCAGGAUGACGGCUCUAUGAGUUGUAAACUGCUUUUGUACGAGGGUAAACGCAGAUACGUGUAUCUGUCUGAAAGUAUCGUACGAAUAAGGAUCGGCUAACUCCGUGCCAGCAGCCGCGGUAAUACGGAGGAUCCAAGCGUUAUCCGGAUUUAUUGGGUUUAAAGGGUGCGUAGGCGGUUUUAUAAGUUAGAGGUGAAAAUUCGGGGCUCAACUCCGGACGUGCCUCUAAUACUGUAUGACUAGAGAUUAGAUGCGGUAGGCGGAAUGUAUGGUGUAGCGGUGAAAUGCGUAGAGAUCAUACAGAACACCGAUUGCGAAGGCAGCUUACCGGCGCUCAACUGACGCUCAUGCACGAAAGCGUGGGUAUCGAACAGGAUUAGAUACC